CCCGCUGAACUUAAGCAUAUCAAUAAGCGGAGGAAAAGAAACUAACAAGGAUUCCCCUAGUAACUGCGAGUGAAGCGGGAAGAGCUCAAAUUUAAAAUCUGGUGUGCCCUUGGUCACCCGAGUUGUAGUCUGGAGAAGCGUCUUCCGCGCUGGACCGUGUACAAGUCUCCUGGAAGGGAGCGUCAUAGAGGGUGAGAAUCCCGUCUUUGACACGGAAACCAGUGCACUGUGAUGCGCUCUCGACGAGUCGAGUUGUUUGGGAAUGCAGCUCAAAAUGGGUGGUAAAUUCCAUCUAAAGCUAAAUAUAGGCGAGAGACCGAUAGCGAACAAGUACCGUGAGGGAAAGAUGAAAAGAACUUUGGAAAGAGAGUUAAACAGUACGUGAAAUUGCUGAAAGGGAAACGCUCGAUGUCAGUCGCGUCGGCCGGGGGUCAACCUUGCUUUUUUCGCUGGGUGUACUUCCUGGUCGACGGGUCAGCAUCAGUUUCGGUCGCCGUACAAGGGCGGAGGGAACGUGGCACUCUUCGGAGUGUGUUAUAGCCUUUCGUCGCAUGCGGUGGCUCGGGACUGAGGAACUCAGCACGGCUUCUAGUUUGUGCUCAGGAUGCUGGCAUAAUGGCCUUAAGCGACCCGUCUUGAAACACGG
rnacentral:rRNA from 1 species